GAUUUCCCUAGUAACGGCGAGUGAAGAGGAAAGAGCUCAAAGUUGGAACCUGUUUGGCCUAGCUAAACCGGAUUGUAGACUGUAGAAGUGUUUUCCAGGCAAGCCGAGUAAAUAAGUCCUUUGGAACAGGGCAUCAUAGAGGGUGAGAAUCCCGUCUUUGGCUUGAGCAUUUGCCUUUUGUGAUACGCUUUCAAAGAGUCAGGUUGUUUGGGAAUGCAGCCUAAAUUGGGUGGUAAAUCUCACCUAAAGCUAAAUAUUGGCGAGAAACCGAUAGCGAACAAGUACCGUGAGGGAAAGAUGAAAAGAACUUUGAAAAGAGAGUUAAACAGUAUGUGAAAUUGUUAAAAGGGAACCGUUUGGAGCCAGACUGGCUUGUCUGUAAUCAAUCUAGGCUUCGGCCUGGAUGCACUUGCAGGCUAUGCCUGCCAACGACAAUUUGACUUGAGGGAAAAAACUAGGGGAAAUGUGGCCCACUUGUGGGUGUUAUAGUCCCUUAGAAAAUACCUUGGGUUGGAUUGAGGAACGCAGCGAAUGCUUUUUGGCGAGUUUUCCAGGAAGGUUUUCUGAGGUACUACGGUAUCAAGGUUGAUCUUUUUGGUUAUACUUCUAUUCGCUUAGGUUGUUGGCUUAAUGACUCUAAAUGACCCU
rnacentral:rRNA from 1 species